AGAAGUAGCCUGGGGAGUCCCUAGGCCAGCUCGGGAAUGCAGCUGUGAGCACCAGACUCAGCUUCCCACAGGUAGAAGGAAGGCAAAUGUCUCUCGCUGAACCUUGAACUCAUCCGGCCACCAGUAAACCCUAAGUGUUUUCCUCUUUCUAGCCCAUGCCCCACAACCCUCACCCCAGAAUGGGGUUACAGUGUGAGUGCAGCCACCCGUGGCUUAGUGCUGGGGAUUUGAACUCAUGUCCCCAUGAUUGCAGCAAGUGCUCUUACUCACUGAGCCCCUCUGAUUUAAAGACGCUUGUCUUAAUUAAAGGCAUGCUGUGCUAGCAUUAAAUAAACGGGGCUGUCUGGUGCUUUCAGGUUCGUCUUGGAGUCUGCGUGUGGGAUUCUUACGGUUCUCUGAUGGACCCAGUCACGCCAGCCAGCAUGGCACAGAAGCAAUGUGCAGUUCAACGGAGAAGAGCCACGGCGCUAUGUGGCUUGUCUCCGGAACGUCCUCAUCUGGGGAACGCCACCUCAGCACCCCCUCAGCGCCCCAAAGCUUCUGUCUGUGGUUGUUUCCUGUGCGAGUACAACUCGGAGCAUUCAAGCUGUUGUACCAGACUCAUCUUGCCCAGUGUCAGAAUCUCUUGUUCAAGACAGGCUGGGUGUGAAGCAUGCCUAUAGUCCUGGCACAUCAGGAGCUCAAGGCCGGUCCAGCUACUUGAGACCCGUGUGAGAGCUUAGAAGGUAAAGGUGCUUGCUGCUGUGCUUGACAGCGUGACGGAAAACA
rnacentral:lncRNA from 1 species